rnacentral:rRNA from 1 species
GGAGGAAAAGAAACCAACAGGGAUUGCCUCAGUAACGGCGAGUGAAGCGGCAAGAGCUCAAAUUUGAAAUCUGGAGCCUUCGGCUUCCGAGUUGUAAUUUGAAGAGGAUGUUUCGGUCGCGGCCUGGGCCUAAGUUCCUUGGAACAGGACGUCAUGGAGGGUGAGAAUCCCGUACAUGGCUGCAGGCUUGCUUCUAUGUGAAACUCCUUCGACGAGUCGAGUUGUUUGGGAAUGCAGCUCAAAAUGGGUGGUAAAUUUCAUCUAAAGCUAAAUAUUGGCGGGAGACCGAUAGCGCACAAGUAGAGUGAUCGAAAGAUGAAAAGCACUUUGAAAAGAGAGUUAAACAGUACGUGAAAUUGUUGAAAGGGAAGCGCUUGCGAUCAGACUCGCUUUCGGUUGAUCAACGUUCCUUCUGGUUCGUGCACUCUGCCGUUUGCGGGCCAGCAUCGGUUGGGGCGGUGGGACAAAGGCGUUGGGAAUGUGGCUCCUCUCGGGGAGUGUUAUAGCCCAGCGUGUCAUGCCGCCAGUCCCGACCGAGGUCCGCGGUUCGCCUAGGAUGCUGGCUUAAUGGUCGUAAGCGACCCGUCUUGAAACACGGACCAAGGAGUCUAACAUCUAUGCGAGUCUUUGGGUGUCAAACCCAUGGGCGGAAUGAAAGUGAACGGAGGUGGGAGUCCUCGGAUGCACCAUCGACCGAUCCUGAUGUUCUCGGAUGGAUUUGAGUAUGAGCAUAGCUGUUGGGACCCGAAAGAUGGUGAACUAUGCCUGAAUAGGGUGAAGCCAGAGGAAACUCUGGUGGAGGCUCGCAGCGGUUCUGACGUGCAAAUCGAUCGUCAAAUUUGGGUAUAGGGGCGAAAGACUAAUCGAACCAUCUAGUAGCUGGUUCCCAA